UAGCUCACUCCACAGCACAUGAACUAAAAUUGGAACAAUACGUAGAUGAUUAACAUGGCCUUUAUGUAAGGAGGUUGCACAAAUUCAUAAAGUAUACUAUGUUUUU
ensembl:snRNA U6 U6 spliceosomal RNA